CUAGGUCUGGAAUUCUAGAUUGUGUAUUGCUCAAUAAGUAAAUAGCUGUAUGAAACAUCUUGCUUUCAAAUACAUAAAAAUAUCACCAUUCACCAAUAAUUUAUCAAAUGUACAAACCAGAACAAAAAAAAUGCAUGCAUGAAAGGCAGCAUGAAGUUUUGAACAUUGGAGGUAAAGUGUAAAUUUGCAAAAUCACUAAAAAAAAUUCAAAUUGAUUUCAUAGAUUAUUUCUUUGAUAAGUUUGCUAACAAAUAUUGAACACAGCAAAUUUCAAUAAGAGUGCUAUGUAAGUGGGGUCAUGCUUCUUAUGGUUAUGAAAUAGGGCCUUAAAAAUAUGUUAUCCAUCAUGGAAUGAUGUUGUUCGAAAAGCACAAAUAUAAAGUGCUAUAGUUGCCUACAGACAGGCUUGAAAUAGCUGCAAAUACAAAGUAUGACUAGUAGUGAACACAACAAAAAAGAUUAGGGCAGUGUGUCUGGAAAAAAUACAAAAUAGCUAUAUACAAUGGAACCAUUUGCCAAAACAAUAUUCAUACAACUACCAAUACUGGUAGGCAACAUUAAGAUGUAAAAGAAUUUAUCAAAGCAGUAAAAGCAGGUUCAAUUACACACUCACACAAUGAAAUACCUAUGAGCAAAAAUAAAUAAGUGACAAAAAUAAAGUUAAAAUAUGCUUGUGUCCUAAGUGCCACAUAAUCCAAGUAAAAUGGUUGAAACUGUGAUUAAAAAUAUAUAAAUUAUUGGCAGUCAAAAGAAAAAAAAAUACCACCAAAUAAUAUCUACUGAGUACAGGAGUAAGGAUAUAGCUCAUAAUAAAAAAAAGAAAUGAGUUAUAUUAAUUUGAAAUAUUAGUGAGCAAUAUGUAUGCAUUGCCUAAUUGUAAAACAUUGUUCAGUGCUAGGUAGGACAUCACUUGUUUGAAAUCAAGAAAUCCAACAUGAAUACUUGAGCCUUUGAAAUAAGAUGACUUUUGUGGCACGCGUGCAAUUGAAGAAUUUGUGAUUGUCUUUAAAAUUGUAACCCCAUGCCAGCAAAGAGCUGCAUAAAGUAAACCCUCUUUAACUUUGAUAUUGGAUAUUCUGAAGUGUUGAUUUAUUUUAUGCCAUUCUUCAUUGUUUUGGACGAUGCUGCAAGGUAUGGUACCGGUAUGGUAUUCACUUUCCAGCUUUCUGCAGUUCUGUUAUUUUCCAACCUCCAGAUUCCAAAAACUUCCAUUAGUUUCAUACAAUUAUAACCGAAUGAUGUUGUCCAUAUUGUGCAAUGUCUCACUUCAACAAUCAAUUUCGAAUUUUCAGUACUUGUAGAUGGAAGAAGUCGCCAGAAGGCUAUUUUUAUCCUAGGAAUUCUACACGUCCCGGUUAUAAUUUAAUCGGGACGGGCAUAAAUAUCUUAAUCAAAACAGCAAUAAUCUUAAUCAAAUAGCGAAUAAUUUCAUUCGCGAGUUUGAGCUGUUGCUUGGUUGAGGGCCAAUGUUGCACCUGGAGUGUACUGGAUCAGGUGGAACUCGUAAUAUCUUUUUCGAAGGAAAUAAUACACAAAUUCAAGGCACAGCUUAUACAAUACAGAAACGGAUUUAGUCGCAAUUUAAAAGCAGGUGGCUUUCAUCGCAAGAAACAGAAGGGGUCAUCAUAAGUCUGCGACACCAACAUUUGAAAUGAGUUAAAAAUUGAAAUAAUAAAAAAAGGUGGCGGUAGAGAAUAUUAGUCAUUCGAAAAAAUUGUCCAACAAGGGGAGGGAGGGUAAAGAUUCCUGUGAAACAUCACAUAUAAUUUUAGAAUGAGAUAAAAAAAAAGUCUGGGAAAUACAAUAAGACACAGUAGUUUUUAGGAAAAAAAACAUUUAGCAUAUCAAUUUGCUGAACUUCUGUAUAAUGGCAACUAUUAAAUAUUGUCACUUGCAACAUCAAAUCGAGCUAUAUUUUUUAUUUGCAGAAGAAUAAAUAAAUAUAAAAUUACAUAACUUUUAGGUACGAAUGCGAAAUUCAUACUCCAUGUACAUCCAACAUAUGAGAUUUGAAAGUGAGAAGAGAAAAUGAUGCAGUUUAAAUCUGACUGUGAAAUAGGAAAAACAGUCUCGGUGAACUUAUUGCCACCAACUAACAAAUGUCAGCCGGGCCAUCAAAAAUCCAGAGAACAGAAACAUAUUCAAGCCUUAUAAGUCUAAAGAUGGUGAUUAUACAAUCACAAAAAGAGCUGUGGUGAAGUUCAAACAAAGUGUACCCUUGCUAAGAAUUCUUGGUUGGGAAAGUUGAAUUGUGUUCUCAUGUUGUUGCAAUAUAUUUUGAACCUACUUAUGUUGGAAAUUCUAAAUUAAGCAAAAUAUUAUUGUGUUCAAAUUUGAAUAAAGAAAUUGUUUCUUUUUUAAUAAUGCUGUUGCAACCUAAGCCAGUGUAAUAAGACCAGAUCCCAAUUUAUUGUAAAUUUGAGACAUAACUUUCUUCAAAAAAUUCAGUCUACCUUAAAUUACAAAUGCCAUUCACUUAUUAAUUUCUUGCAUAUCACCAUUAUUGCAAUUUAUACAAAUCAACUUAUGUAAAAUUUCAUUUUUAUUAAAAAUAAAAAAUAUCAUAAUUAUUGUUGAGUGUUCGAGGGGUGCGAGUUUGACAUCCUCUGGUCUACCGUGCUGAGAAUGCAUCCAAAUGAUAUCCAGGCUUCAGCUCUGAUCAUCUAUUAAACAAAUUUCACAUUCAGUAGGGCAUUUAUGCAGAGUCCCAACAACUUGGGGGAUCAUUCCUUUUCCUAAUUUUCAAUUGUAAUCUUCUUAUUAAAACAUGAUUGGUACCUAAUCAAGGGUGAAAUUUCCUUUCUUGAUAGCUGCUUUCUCCCUCCAUAUAGUUACAUACUUCUGCAGUUCAUUACAAUAUACAAUACAAUUUUAUUUCGAUUACUCUUACUUCGCAAAGUACUUCAUUUCAUAGAUAGCUCUUAGGUAUGUAUGUAAUCCUUUUCCUCUGGAAAGUUUAGCUCCCAAAUAUCAGGCAAAUCCUGCUCGGUGUAUUCCAGGGCAAUGACUGAAUGAGAAAAUCCAGUCUGCCAGUACCGGUACCAUCACUUUUGAAGUAGCUCGGUCUGAUGUGUGUGACUGUGUAACAGAGCAGCUCAAAUGCAUAACAGAUAUACAAGCUAGUCUGUAUUCAAUCUAUAAAUGAGAAAAAGACU